rnacentral:lncRNA from 1 species
CAAGUGUUAAGUCUUGAUGAAUUAUUUUAUUAUUUGUAUUUUUUAGUAUUCAAGAUUCUUAUGAAUCUCAUUUUUAUCCUUUAAGGCAUGUUCUAUUAUUCUAUUAGGCAAUAAAAUAACAAUGCCUAUUUUGGGAAUAGAAAUCUCUUGGGUCCAUGGCGUAUCUUUAGAAUUUCUACACCGUGGAUUUACGUCAAUGGAUGAUAAAUCUUUGGUUCUUGAGGAUGUCCAACUAGUGUAUAAAAGCCAAUUGUCAAGAUAAUAACUUGGAUGUUUCUCAAUUUUCACAUUUGUUUUGAAUUCUCUGCCAAAGUCAUAUAUUUAUCUUUUAGGGGGAAAUCAUGUUAGUGAAAAUAAGCACAUGUCUCCAAGUCCGAAAGCCAGAACUUAACAGGGCAAUGAUAAAGGAAAUCAGAGGGCCAUACGGUGGAGAGUUUAAGGGUGCGUAUAUCCAUAUAUUUGACAUGUGGAGCUGUGUGGGGAAAUGGCACAGGAUAGAGAUACUUCUUGACCGCCACUUAUUCACUGUAGAGCAUUGGGUCACCGAAGUCUUACAAGUGGAAGAGAAUGGAAAAGAAAAAUGCAAAUGUGUUCAGUAUUAUUCUACAACUCAAAUCAUAAAAGAGAUGGUAUGAUGAGGCAAAAAGAAGCUCAAGAAAAUGGCAUAAAAUGGUCAUCUAUGAACUUUUAGAUUUUGCCUUCUCAGUAUUUCAGUUUCUUUAUCUAAAGUGAGUAUGGAACUGUGAAGGCAAAUAUAAUGAGUUGUAAGGAAGAUAAUCAGUCUCUCCCUUUCUCUCUCUCCCUUUCCUUGUUUUUCAAUUAAAAUGAAAAUCUUCGUGAAAUGCAAGAACUGCUUAUACUGGAUUAAAGGUAAUAUACAAUGGUACUUCCUUGUUAUGUUAGAGCAAAAUAAUGUAAUAACUACUAAUUUAUACAAUAUACUUAUAUUUAAAAAACAAAAAUACUAUCAAUCAUAGAAAAUAUUGUAAAUACCAAUAAAGUGGUAAAAAAGCUUGAGCGAUUUUCA